UCCAGUACGCUACUAUUACUACUAUCCUCUCUUUUCCUUUUUAUUUUUGUUUUUUUUUGGGUAGAAAGGAGAUGGGAGAAACGUCUGGAUUACUGAAUAAUUAAUGUCAUUCAAUACUGCCAUGUCUGUACAAUUUUAGGAGAUUACAAAAUUUCGUCAGGCUUAAUUUAGAAACCCGAAAGUAACAAAUUGCGUCAGACUAGGUAAACCCCCAGGAUGUGACUGUUGCUCCACCUCCAAGACACUUGCAUAAUAUAUAAAA
rnacentral:lncRNA from 1 species